UACGUAGGGGGCUAGCGUUGUCCGGAAUUAUUGGGCGUAAAGAGCUCGUAGGCGGUUCGUCGCGUCGGCUGUGAAAUCCCGAGGCUCAACCUCGGGUCUGCAGUCGAUACGGGCGGACUGGAGUUCGGCAGGGGAGACUGGAAUUCCUGGUGUAGCGGUGAAAUGCGCAGAUAUCAGGAGGAACACCGGUGGCGAAGGCGGGUCUCUGGGCCGAUACUGACGCUGAGGAGCGAAAGCGUGGGGAGCAAACAGG
rnacentral:rRNA from 1 species